ensembl:miRNA
GUUGGUGCAAAAGUUAUUGCGAUUUUUGCCAUUGCAUGUAGUGGCAAAAACUGCAGUUACUUUUGCACCAACCUAAUA